rnacentral:lncRNA from 1 species
UAGAGUUGAAAGUCUUACAUUAGCAUUGUGGGCAAAACUAGGUGUGACAAACGAGUGCGUAGCCCCAGGGUCAAUCAUAAUUCUAGCAGGGAUUCCAAAGACCGGUAACAUUCCUGUAAUUACAUGAGGUGAUGUAUGUGCCUCCUGCUGGGACAUAUUGUACACUCUGCCUGUGGCCCUGGAACGUCCACCACGUCCCCUUUGCUGACUGCUGCCUCGGUUGGCUACACUGGUUUGGGCCCCACCACUGGACGAAGCCUCCACAAACUGUGGUGUCCUCUGUGAUCUACCUUGAAUACCUGUCCCCGGAGUCGAUGCAGUUGUGGUCUCUCUAUUCUGAAGGAGCAGCGGGCAAUCCUUCCUAAAAUGUCCAGACUGUCCACAAUAAUAACAUCCA